rnacentral:rRNA from 1 species
AUUGAACGCUGGCGGCAGGCCUAACACAUGCAAGUCGAGCGGAGCGGCGGACGGGUGAGUAAUGCCUAGGAAUCUGCCUGGUAGUGGGGGAUAACGUCCGGAAACGGGCGCUAAUACCGCAUACUAUCAGAUGAGCCUAGGUCGGAUUAGCUAGUUGGUGGGGUAAGGGCCUACCAAGGCGACGAUCCGUAACUGGUCUGAGUGGAUGAUCAGUCACACUGGAAAUGAGAGACGGUCCAGACUCCUAAGUGAGGCAGCGUUGUGGAGUAUUGGACAAUGAGCGAAAGCCUGAUCCAGCCAUGCCGCGUGUGAGAAGAAGGUUUUCGGAUUGUAAAGCACUUUAAGUUGGGAGGCGUUACCGACAGAAUAGGCACCGGCUAACUUCGUGCCAGCAGCCGCGGUAAUUC